AGUUUCUUUAUGCAAGGAGAAAUCUUUGAUUUUUUUUACUGUAAUCUACUUAAGUUAAUCGUUAUUACUGUUACAACUUGUCAAGUAAAUAUGGCGGACAAUGACCCACAAAACAAUGCAGAAGCUGAUCCUGAGGAAGUAGAAACAGAUGUUGAUGAAGGAUCAGAAGAUGCUCCACAAACUGGAUCUACAGACGUUGCUUGUGAAUGGAUGCAAAAUCCUUUUGAAUUGGCUGCUCUGCAAGAUAAGCUAGGCAGUCUUAUUGGUACUCCAUCCACUUAUAUUCAAAGUUUACCUAAAUGUGUUAAGCGGAGAAUAAAAGCCUUAAAGAAACUCCAAUUUGAAACAACUAAGAUUGAAUCUGAUUUCUAUGAAGAACUUCACUCGUUGGAAUGCAAAUUUGCUGAGAAAUAUGCUCCAUUCUAUGAUAAAAGAAAAGAUAUUGUGAAUGCUAAUGUUGAACCCACAGACGAAGAAUGUGAUUGGUCGAGUGACGAAGAAUUAGCAGAUGAUAUGCGAAAUAAAGCUGCAGUUGAGGAUAAGCCAGAACAAAAAGAACCUGAGGUAGAGGUUUUAGAUGAAAAUACAAAAGGUAUUCCUCAUUUCUGGUUGACGGUCUUCAAGAAUGUAGAUAUUCUUUCAGAAAUGGUUCAGGAACAUGAUGAACCUAUUCUGAAACAUCUUAUUGAUAUAAAGUGUGUUUUCUCAGAGAAAGACCCAAUGGGUUUCACCUUACAAUUCUACUUUGAACCAAAUGAUUAUAUCAAGAAUAGUGUAUUAACAAAGAAAUAUAUUAUGAAAUCAGAGCCUGAUGUAAAUGAUCCUUUCUCUUUUGAAGGCCCAGAAAUAAUAAAAUGUGUUGGUUGUCCAAUAGAAUGGAAAAAGGGAAAAGAUGUUACUGUGAAAGUGUUGAAGAAAAAACUGAAGCAUAAAGGUAGAGGAACGACAAGGACUGUUACAAAAACUGUAGAAAUUGAUUCCUUUUUCAAUUUCUUCAAUCCUCCUACAGUUCCUGCUGAUGAAUCAGAGCUGGAUGAGAAUGCUGAAACAAUUUUGGCAACAGAUUUUGAAGUUGGGCACUUUAUACGAGAAAGAAUCAUCCCAAAGGCUGUUUUGUAUUUUACUGGCGAAGCAUUGGAAGAAGAUGAAGAUUAUGAAGAGGAAGGUGAUGAAGAGGAGAUAAAUUCUGACUAGCUUUUUCUUCAGUUUUCUGCUAUAACAGGUGGGGAGGGUUUUCUUACAACAAUUGCUUUUACCACUUCAGUAUAUUCAAGAAAUACUUUGUAUGAGUAGGAGUGCUGUGGAAAAUAUCUGUAGGUUUUAAUGUAUUAUGUUUACUAUAAAUUAAGAGCUGAUAAGAUUUAUUCUCAUUGGGUUUGUUUUUGCAUAUCUGGAUUAUGCCAUAUGUAUGGUACCCUUUCUUACUAUUAGCUUGCCGAAAGGUGUUUGUUCUUCAAAUUUUAUGAAUUGAUAUCCCUACAAUUUAACGGUUCUUUUUAGCUUCAAUGUUUGUGAUACUAGUUCAUCUUAAUUUUUCUGCUUGUUUCAUCAGAAUUAGUUAUCCAUUAAAGUGCACACUUGAGCAUGAGUGUUAAAUGUGAUCUUGCUAGACUUUAAUCAUCCAAGUGAUAAUCCCACUGCUUGACCAUUGGUUUGACAAUUGUAAUUUUCAGACUAUGGUUAAGGGUAUAUUGGUAUCACUUAAGCACAGUUGUUGUUGGAAUGAGAAAUGCAAGUCUAUUGACAAUUUUUUUUCCAUUCAGGUUUUAGUUGAACAAGUCUUGUGAUAAUCAUUUAACAUAAUAAUUAGGGAGUAAUUAUGCUAUAUCUUUACUGAUUUAUUUGAAAUACUUGGGAUGAAAUUUUGAUUUUUGAGAAAUUAGAGAAAAUUUUUUAACACUCUAACUGUAUCUGAUACAAAGUUAUGUAUAAUCUUAUCUAUUUCAAUGAACCCAAUUAAAGACUGAAUAAAAAAUAAAAUAUCUUAUCUUGUUUGACUGGAGUGGCUGAUGGUGUGAUGAUUAGCUGUCUGGUUCUCCAAAUAUUUUCUAAUUAGAAUCUUAUUAGUGGCCCAUUCUGCAAGGCUCACCAAAGUUCUCACUACCCUAGCCAAACCGUUAAAAUAUUGUAUGUACUGUAGUUAAAGGAUAGAACUGCCAGGUUUGUGAGCAAAUCUUUGUUUCUUCGUUUCAUAGGUCAUGGAGAGCAGGUGUGGUGUCCAUUCCAUGGACUGUUCAUCUAUUUCCUGAUCAUAAAUCUAGAUGUGGUCAUAUUUCAUUAGAUAGUGUGUGAAGUCUUCACUGGCUUCAAUCACUUCCAGUAGAUCAGAAGACUUCUACUCCUUAAAUUCCAUGUCAAAUGCUCAAGUAUCCUCCAUAUGCAAGCUUCCCAGUAUUCAGUCUUCUCUUUUGUUACACACUGAAGUAGGACCAAGUGUGCAGCAAGCUCACAGUUUGUGGCUUGUCUGUCUUAAUCAAUUUGUCCACUUGCUGGCAAUUCAUUUCAGUGUUCAGUUGGUUUCCUAUUAUAUAGUUGGUCUUCUUCUUUAAACUUUAUCUGUGUACAUGGCUCUCAGUAGUGUCCUCUCUAAACAACCUGUAGCCUUCUAAGGAUGUUGGCCUGUCUACACCCCUCCUACAUCAAGAACUUUGACUUCACAUUGCUUCUGUUUGGGAUCUAUUAUUUACCUGCAAUGGAGAACAGGAAGAAGCUACACUACCAACAUGUGCAAUUUGAACAACAUCAUGAAGGUGACGAGUAUGAUGGAGAAAAUGACCCAGACUAUAAUCCUGAGUCCGAUCAAGGGAAGAAGGACUGUAAGCAACAAUGAACCAGUGUGAGAUGUCAAACUGAAACCAUCAACUUAGAAAAUGACCAAAGGAACAUUUGACCAAUAAUGGGUCACCACUCUUCAUUCUGCAAUGACAAAUAUUAUAAAUGGGGAGGGUGGGAAAUUGAGAAGUUUUUUUUCUCAGUUUACAGUGUUGGCAUAUAUAAACUGACCUGUUAAGACUGAUUGAGGUGGGUUACAAUUAACCAGACAAUAAAUAGAAGUUGCUGUUUUUUUUUCUUCACCUUAUCAAAGAUUAAGAUAUUGUGACCAAGGACACUUCAAGGAAUAUCUUAUUCCUUUAUAAUUAACUUGAAUUUUCUUGUGCUUAAUCUCUUUCUCAAAGAGAAGAACAUGAGGGAUAAAAGCUGCUUCUAGAAACUGAACAAAAUAAACCUCCAAUGUUGUGCACGUGUGCUUUUCAUGGUCUACUUAUUUGUUUUAUUUUAAUCUUUCUGUCUGUGCACUUGAUUCCUUGGCCAUAGCUACAGGUUUUUAACCAUGUUUAAGUCAAAACAUUGGAAAUUUAUUUUGUCCAAAAAAAAAAGAAAAAAUUUUAAAAAAUUGACCCUCUCCAUGCAAUCUUUUCUGGAAUAUUCUUUGAAUAAAGACAUAUUUUGACUUAGUUAACUUUCAA